GUUGUAAAUACAAACUGUUCAAGGGACGUAACUCCACACAUAUACCAUAUAUUGUUGUAAAUACAAACUGUCCAGGGGACGUAACUCCACACAUAUAACAUAUAUUGUUGUAAAUACAAACUGUUCAGUGGACGUAAUUCUACACAUAUAACAUAUAUUGUUGUAGGUACAAACUGUCCAGGGGACGUAACUCUACACAUAUAACAUAUAUUGUUGUAGGUACAAACUGUCCAGGGGUCGUAACUCCACACAUAUACCAUAUAUUGUUGUAAAUACAAACUGUUCCGGGGACGUAACUCCACACAGAUAACAGAUAUUGCGUGUUGUAGUAGAAUUAUAUUCUAAAAUAUAUACUUCUAAAUCAUUUGUAUAAUAUGCAUUUAAAUUCAAUCGAUCUGAAAUGUAGGCUUCAUUAUAAAUAACUGAUUCUUAAUCAUGUAUUAAAAGAUAAUAAGAUCAAUUUACAGAAGCCUCAUUUAAUUGAUGGCCUCCUCAUUGGGAGGAUGCCUUCGUAAUUCCUCUUUUGAUUUAAGCCUAAAUAAAACUUUUCAUUACACGUGAUGUAAACACGUGAUCUUCCGCGUAAAUCACCCGCUGAAUAAACUACAUAAAUAUUGAAAACGAAUCCUACAUCACAAAUGAAACAACCUCAAAAAGAUGCUGAAGUGAAAGUAAAUCUGUGUAGGCAGAGUUUGUUGACCCGGUUUUCUUUAUGUUUUUAAGUUUAUUUCAGUACGCUCAAUACAUUUAGUCAUGGACUGGCGCUGGAUCUACGGUGUAUCAUGUGUGUGUGACGUGAUCGAUUUGUGCGUGGAAUCUAGACAUGCCUUGCAUCAAUCGAUGACGUCACACACAGGAUGGAGAUCGAGCGCCAGUCUUAGUGAUGACAAUUAGAUGGCCCCAAUUAGAUACCAGCAUGAUGACGAAAACGGGACUAGAUAGUCGUAAACAAGGAAAUAAAACUAAAUCAGAUUUUAAUUAUUAAAUAGUCAAACAUUUUAACAUGAUUGCUAUGAUACGGUAACACAUUACAAUAUAUUUGACGUAAAAAGUAGGACGAGGUCACAAUGUAGAAUAUUGUACACGUAAACAGUAGGACGAGGUCACAAAGUAGAAUAUUGUACACGUAAAAAUAAGGACGAGGUCACACAGUAGAAUAUUGUACACGUAAAAAGUAGGACGAGGUCACAAAGUAGAAUAUUGUACACGUAAAAAGUAGGACGAGGUCACACAGUAGAAUAUUGCACACGUAAACAGUAGGACGAGGUCACAAAGUAAAAUAUUGUACACGUAAAAAUAAGGACGAGGUCACACAGUAGAAUAUUGUACACGUAAAAAUAAGGACGAGUUCACACAGUAGAAUAUUGUACACGUAAAAAGUAGGACGAGGUCACAAAGUAGAAUAUUGUUUACGCCAAGUAUAAAGAGGGAUAAUUACUACAUGUAGCUAUCAAUUCUAUAAUAUAUCACAUUGAAUCCAGAUAUCUAAACGUUCAAAAAUAUAAAUAUAAAUAUAUCACAUUUGUGUUCGAUUGAACAAAAGAGAAAAAACACACGUAAAAAGUAAUCGUAUGAUAAUUCCGUAGGUCAAAGUUUACGUACAUAUUUAAUUGAGAGCUUUAUGAGCACAUGUACAUAUCGUCUAGUAAAAUGUCUAGUAAGUCUCUGGGUGCCCUAAGGGUAACUUCGCUUGCUGAUUUUGUCUUAACAACAAUAGCUCCAAAGGGAACACGUCUGUAAUAUAUAAAUAAACAUACAUACAAAUGUAUCUCGAAUGUUCCAAAUUUCUCGGUUUCCUAGCCUUUGAUGAGGAAACAGGCUCUUUCUUACUUUUCAAGUUAUCCUCUUGGUUCUUUCAAAGUCUACUUCAAAAGUUAUUCGAAUUCUACAAUCCAUUUCUACACUAUUAGUUUUUAAGAUUAAGAAAAAUAGUAAUAUCCGAAAUAACAACAGAGUGUUUUCAAUUAAAACAAAAAUACUUUCAUCCUAGUAUGCUCAAUUUGCUCAAAUAUUACAACAGAAUGCCUCGAAACUUUACAAUGGGCUGAAAAUUUACAAUAGCCCAACAAUUUAAAAUAGCCCAAAAAUUUACAAUGGGCUUAAAGUUUACAAUAGCCC